rnacentral:rRNA from 1 species
CCCUUAGAUGUUCUGGGCCGCACGCGCGCUACACUGAUGCAUUCAACGAGUUUCUUCCUGGUCCGAGAGGAAUGGGUAACCUUUUGAAAGUGCAUCGUGAUAGGGAUAGACUAUUGCAAUUAUUGGUCUUCAACGAGGAAUUCCUAGUAGACGUAGUUCAUCAGACUGCAUCGAUUACGUCCCUGCCCUUUGUACACACCGCCCGUCGCUCCUACCGAUUGAAUGCUCAGGUGAGACAUUCGGACUUUCAUCAUGCUGGUUUCCAGUUUUGAUGAAGGAAAGUCUUGCGAACCUUAUCAUUUAGCGGAAGGAGAAGUCGUAACA